rnacentral:lncRNA from 1 species
CUGGGAAUCACUGGCUUAAAUGAUGUCAUAGUUUCCAUUUCCGGAGAUGCCAGAAAAGAGGCCAUAAAGAGCUAACUUCAGCAUGGUGAUUUGGGUUUACUCCCAAGGAAGAAUGUUGGUGUCAAAGACCAUGAUGCAGGAGUAAUUCAAGGUGUGCUGAUAAGAAAAGGAGACUAGGAGGUUUUAGGAGGUUUUUGUUGUUGUUGUUGUUGUUUCAGUUUUAUUGACAUUUAGUUGAUUUACAGGUGUUUUGAAAGUGAAGGGCCAACAGAGAGCUUCUUGGAAAUGUGUUGGCAGAAGGCAAGUGUGCUGACAAUGGUGUCCCUGAAUGGCAGUGAACCAUAUGAGGUGACCUCUUCAGGGUGGAGUCCCAGAUGUCAAGAUGGGAUUUACCAAAAAUCUGCUGCUCUGCUAGAAAUACUGUGGUUCAAAGGCUACAGGCAUGAGAUAAGGAUUCCUGAGGAAAACUUAUGACUCUGUGGAGUUGAGGUUCAGCUUCACUAUUAUCCUCUGAAGGUCCUCCUGUGGACUCUACUUAUAGGAAGUGCUUUGGUGAGUGAGAAAGCCAAGGGAUAAGCAUAAAGAUAAUCCAUCACCUACAUGAGGGAGGCAUAAGGGAUGAUCAAGGCUAUGGAGUCAGCCGAACCUGGGCAGGUCGAGUCACCCUGGGCAAGAUGCUAAUAUCUCUGAGCUGCCAUCUCCUUACUCAUAAAAUAGAGAUAAUAUCAUUGGCAUGCUACCUUGUCAGAGUAUUUUGAGGAAUCAGCAACAUCGGUUUUUUUUUUUUUGUCUUUUUUUGCCAUUUCUUGGGCUGCUCCAGCGGCACAUGGAGGCUCCCAGGCUAGGGGUCCAAUCGGAGCUGUAGCCGCUGGACUACACCAGAGCCACAGCAACUCGGGAUCCAAGUUGCGUCUGCAACCUAUACGACAGCUCACGGCAAUGCCGGAUCCUUAACCCACUGAGCAAGGCCAGGGAUCAAACCUGCAACCUCAUGGUUCCUAGUCGGAUUCGUUAACCACUGAGCCACUACGGGAACUCCCUCAGCAACAUAUUUGUAAAGAGCUCAGUUUAGUGCCGUGGCUCUCAAUCAGCAUGACUGAUUUUCGCUCUCCAGUUAUGGCUGUCAUGCCUGUGGAGAUGGUUCUGGCAUCUGAUGGGUAUAACUAGGGAUGGGCUACAUCCUGCAAGGCACAAGACAACAAAGAAUUUAUCUGGCUCAAAAUGUCAAUCACGCUGAGAGUGAGAAACCCUGGUGUGAUGCCUGACACUGAGUAGGUACUCAAAAAUAGCUACAAUGAUUAGUGUACUUAAAACGUGUAAGACUAUACUAAAUGUGUAACAUUGCUUUUGACCUUAAUCCUUUCAAAAGUUCUAUGGAAGGUAGUUACUAUAAUUAGGUCCACUUUACAGGUGAAGAAACUGGGAGUCUGAGAAUAAGCCUCCCAAGGACAAACAUCUGGUGUGUGGACGCAGG